rnacentral:rRNA from 1 species
UACGUAGGGUGCAAGCGUUAAUCGGAAUUACUGGGCGUAAAGCGCGCGCAGGCGGCUAUGUAAGUCAGGUGUGAAAUCCCAGGGCUUAACCUUGGAACUGCAUUUGAGACUGCAUAGCUAGAGUACGGUAGAGGGGGAUGGAAUUCCGCGUGUAGCAGUGAAAUGCGUAGAUAUGCGGAGGAACACCGAUGGCGAAGGCAAUCCCCUGGACCUGUACUGACGCUCAUGCACGAAAGCGUGGGGAGCAAACAGG